UGAGGAGAAAGCAAAACCGGCAGAAACUUGGAAGAACUGCUAGAGAGUUAGCAAAGACACUGGAAGAUUAAGGUGUGUAUUUUAAUUAAUUCUGCUUGAGAAGAUUACUGAACUUCCUGACAGAUUCACAGGAUGUAGAGAAGAGGGAGGUCUGAUUGUAUGUAUGCUUUGAAAUUGAACAUAGCUUGUGAUUCAACGACUGGGAAAAAGUUCUGGUGGGAGAGAGUCACAACAUGAGCAAAGCAGAAGGAUGUUCUAUCAGCGGUCAGAGCUGGUGGAUAUAAAGCAGUAUCAGCACUUCACAAAAACAAGAAACCACCACAGCAACCAACCAAAGACAGAAGACCCCCCGAAACUCGCCCGGAGGCCUCCCCACCCCCCUCCGCCUCAGCGCCCGCCCCC
ensembl:lncRNA